GACGAACGCUGGCGGCGUGCUUAACACAUGCAAGUCGAACGGAAAGGCCCUGCUUGCAGGGUACUCGAGUGGCGAACGGGUGAGUAACACGUGGGUGAUCUGCCCUGCACUUCGGGAUAAGCUUGGGAAACUGGGUCUAAUACCGGAUAGGAACCAUCUUUAGUGUGGUGGUUGGAAAGUUUUUUCGGUGUAGGAUGAGCUCGCGGCCUAUCAGCUUGUUGGUGGGGUAAUGGCCUACCAAGGCGGCGACGGGUAGCCGGCCUGAGAGGGUGUACGGCCACAUUGGGACUGAGAUACGGCCCAGACUCCGACGGGAGGCAGCAGUGGGGAAUAUUGCACAAUGGGCGCAAGCCUGAUGCAGCGACGCCGCGUGGGGGAUGAAGGCCUUCGGGUUGUAAACUCCUUUCGCUAGGGACGAAGCUUUGUUGUGACGGUACCUAGAGAAGAAGCACCGGCUAACUACGUG
rnacentral:rRNA from 1 species